UACGGAGGGUGCAAGCGUUAAUCGGAAUUACUGGGCGUAAAGCGCACGUAGGUGGUUUGCUAAGCCAGCUGUGAAAUCCCCGGGCUCAACCUGGGCACUGCAGUUGGAACUGGCAAGCUAGAGUAGGGUAGAGGGGUGUGGAAUUCCAGGUGUAGCGGUGAAAUGCGUAGAUAUCUGGAGGAACAUCAGUGGCGAAGGCGACACCCUGGACUCAUACCGACACUGAGGUGCGAAAGCGUGGGGAGCAAACAGG
rnacentral:rRNA from 1 species